GUAACAAGGUUUCCGUAGGUGAACCUGCGGAAGGAUCAUUACCGAGUGCGGGUCCUUUGGGCCCAACCUCCCAUCCGUGUCUAUUAUACCCUGUUGCUUCGGCGGGCCCGCCGCUUGUCGGCCGCCGGGGGGGCGCCUUUGCCCCCCGGGCCCGUGCCCGCCGGAGACCCCAACACGAACACUGUCUGAAAGCGUGCAGUCUGAGUUGAUUGAAUGCAAUCAGUUAAAACUUUCAACAAUGGAUCUCUUGGUUCCGGCAUCGAUGAAGAACGCAGCGAAAUGCGAUAACUAAUGUGAAUUGCAGAAUUCAGUGAAUCAUCGAGUCUUUGAACGCACAUUGCGCCCCCUGGUAUUCCGGGGGGCAUGCCUGUCCGAGCGUCAUUGCUGCCCUCAAGCCCGGCUUGUGUGUUGGGUCGCCGUCCCCCUCUCCGGGGGGACGGGCCCGAAAGGCAGCGGCGGCACCGCGUCCGAUCCUCGAGCGUAUGGGGCUUUGUCACAUGCUCUGUAGGAUUGGCCGGCGCCUGCCGACG
rnacentral:rRNA from 1 species